CCCUUAGAUGUUCUGGGCCGCACGCGUGCUACACUGAGUGGAUCAGCGGGUCAGGUUGCGCGAAAGCGUUUCCUAAUCUUUAAAUCCGCUCGUGAUGGGGAUUGACGGUUGCAAUUUUCUGUCAUGAACGAGGAAUACCUUGUAAGCGCGGGUCAUCAUCCCGCGCUGAAUACGUCCCUGCCCUUUGUACACACCGCCCGUCGCUCCUACCGAUUGAGUGGUCCGGUGAGGCUUUGGGAUCUGAACGGAGAGAGCGUUUCGCUGUUUCUGCUCGGAAAACUCAGUCGAACCUUAUCAUUUAGAGGAAGGAGAAGUCGUAACA
rnacentral:rRNA from 1 species